rnacentral:rRNA from 1 species
GAGAACNUUUUCUUCGGAAAAUUAUUAAACUGGCGAACGGGUGAGUAACACGUAGGUAACCUGCCUUGAAGAUUGGGAUAACUCCGGGAAACCGGAGCUAAUACCGAAUAAUGCAGCGAAUCCAUAGGGAUAUGUUGUUAAAGCGGGCUUCGGCUCGCACUUCGAGAUGGGCCUGCGGCCGAUUAGCUUGUUGGUGAGGUAAUGGCUCACCAAGGCGAUGAUCGGUAGCUGGUCUGAGAGGAUGAUCAGCCACACUGGGAUUGAGAUACGGCCCAGACUCCUACGGGAGGCAGCAGUGGGGAAUUUUGCGCAAUGGACGAAAGUCUGACGCAGCAACGCCGCGUGAUUGAUGAAGCUUUUAGGAGUGUAAAGAUCUGUCGUGAGGGAAGAAAAACCUGGAUGUAAAUAAUGUUCAGGCGUGACGGUACCUCACAAGAAAGCACCGGCUAACUUCGUGCCAGCAGCCGCGGUAAUACGAGGGGUGCUAGCGUUGUCCGGAAUUACUGGGCGUAAAGGGUCCGUAGGCGUCUUGACAAGUUGAUCGUUAAAUCCACCGGCUCAACCGGUGAUCUGCGGUCAAAACUUGCAGGAUAGAAUAUGUGAGAGGAAAGUAGAAUUCCUGGUGUAGCGGUGACAUGCGUAGAUAUCAGGAGGAACACCAAUGGCGAAGGCAGCUUUCUGGCACAAUAUUGACGCUGAGGGACGAAAGCGUGGGGAGCGAACAGGAUUAGAUACCCUGGUAGUCCACGCCGUAAACGAUGAGUACUUGGUGGUGGGAGAUUCGACCCUCUCACUAUCGGAGCUAACGCGUWAAGUACUCCGCCUGGGGACUA